GCGGCGGACGGGUGAGUAACACGUGGGCAACCUGCCCUGCAGACUGGGAUAACUUCGGGAAACCGGAGCUAAUACCGGAUAACACCGAAAACCGCAUGGUUUUCGGUUGAAAGGCGGCUUUUAGCUGUCACUGCAGGAUGGGCCCGCGGCGCAUUAGCUAGUUGGUGAGGUAACGGCUCACCAAGGCGACGAUGCGUAGCCGACCUGAGAGGGUGACCGGCCACACUGGGACUGAGACACGGCCCAGACUUCCUACGGGGAGGCAGCAGUAGGGAAUCUUCCGCAAUGGACGAAAGUCUGACGGAGCAACGCCGCGUGAGCGAAGAAGGUCUUCGGAUCGUAAAGCUCUGUUGUCAGGGAAGAACAAGUGCCGUUCGAACAGGGCGGUACCUUGACGGUACCUGACGAGGAAGCCACGGCUAACUACGUGCCAGCAGCCGCGGUAAUAC
rnacentral:rRNA from 1 species